UACGUAGGGGGGCUAGCGUUGUCCGGAAUCAUUGGGGCGUAAAGAGCGUGUAGGCGGUCCGGUAAGUCCGCUGUGAAAGUCGGGGGCUCAAACCCUCGAAUGCCGGUGGAUACUGUCCGGGCUAGAGUGCGGAAGAGGCGAGUGGAAUUCCUGGUGUAGCGGUGAAAUGCGCAGAUAUCAGGAGGAACACCUAUUUGCGAAGGCAGCUCGCUGGGACGUAACUGACGCUGAGACGCGAAAGCGUGGGAGCAAACAGG
rnacentral:rRNA from 1 species